UUUGACCUCAAAUCAGGUAGGAUUACCCGCUGAACUUAAGCAUAUCCUUAAACG
rnacentral:rRNA from 1 species